CAUUGAGUGGCUGAAAAGUAAGCACCGGUCUCUUAAACCGUAAUAUAGUAAAUUAACGCAUACUCUUAAUGA
rnacentral:tRNA from 1 species